rnacentral:rRNA from 1 species
AGAGUUUGAUCAUGGCUCAGGACGAACGCUGGCGGCGUGCCUAAUACAUGCAAGUCGGGCGGUUUUCACCUUCGGGUGGAGAUAGCGGCGGACGGGUGAGUAACACGUAGGUAACCUGCCACUCAGACUGGGAUAACUACCGGAAACGGUAGCUAAGACCGGAUACGCUUAAAAGGAGGGCAUCCUCUUUUAAGGAAAAGCGGAGCAAUCUGCUGCUGAAUGAUGGACCUGCGGCGCAUUAGCUAGUUGGUGAGGUAGCGGCUCACCAAGGCGACGAUGCGUAGCCGACCUGAGAGGGUGAACGGCCACACUGGGACUGAGACACGGCCCAGACUCCUACGGGAGGCAGCAGUAGGGAAUCUUCGGCAAUGGACGGAAGUCUGACCGAGCAACGCCGCGUGAGUGAAGAAGGUUUUCGGAUCGUAAAACUCUGUUGCCAGGGAAGAAUGGUUGGGAGAGUAACUGCUCUUGACAUGACGGUACCUGAGAAGAAAGCCCCGGCUAACUACGUGCCAGCAGCCGCGGUAAUACGUAGGGGGCAAGCGUUGUCCGGAAUUAUUGGGCGUAAAGCGCGCGCAGGCGGUGAUUUAAGUCUGGUGUAUAACCCAAGGGCUCAACUCUUGGUGGCAUUGGAAACUGGAUGACUGGAGUGUAGGAGAGGAAAGUGGAAUUCCACGUGUAGCGGUGAAAUGCGUAGAGAUGUGGAGGAACACCAGUGGCGAAGGCGACUUUCUGGCCUAUAACUGNNGCUGAGGCGCGAAAGCGUGGGGAGCAAACAGGAUUAGAUACCCUAGUAGUCC